GACGAACGCUGGCGGCGUGCUUAACACAUGCAAGUCGAACGGAAAGGCCCUGCUUUUGUGGGGUGCUCGAGUGGCGAACGGGUGAGUAACACGUGAGUAACCUGCCCUUGACUUUGGGAUAACUUCAGGAAACUGGGGCUAAUACCGGAUAGGAGCUCCUGCUGCAUGGUGGGGGUUGGAAAGUUUCGGCGGUUGGGGAUGGACUCGCGGCUUAUCAGCUUGUUGGUGGGGUAGUGGCUUACCAAGGCUUUGACGGGUAGCCGGCUUGAGAGGGUGACCGGCCACAUUGGGACUGAGAUACGGCCCAGACUCCUACGGGAGGCAGCAGUGGGGAAUAUUGCACAAUGGGCGGAAGCCUGAUGCAGCAACGCCGCGUGCGGGAUGACGGCCUUCGGGUUGUAAACCGCUUUCGCCUGUGACGAAGCGUGAGUGACGGUAAUGGGUAAAGAGGCACCGGCUAACUACGUG
rnacentral:rRNA from 1 species